GAUGAACGCUAGCGGCAGGCUUAAUACAUGCAAGUCGAGGGGCAGCAGCUCUGUAGCAAUACAGAGGCUGGCGACCGGCAAACGGGUGCGGAACACGUACGCAACUUACCCAUAACUGAUGAAUAGCCCUCCGAAAGGAGGAUUAAUACAUCGUAACAUAAUGAGAUGGCAUCAUUUUAUUAUUAUAGCUCCGGCGGUUAUGGAUGGGCGUGCGGCUGAUUAGGUAGUUGGCGGAGUAAUAGCCCACCAAGCCAACGAUCAGUAACUGGUGUGAGAGCACGACCAGUCACACGGGCACUGAGACACGGGGCCCACUCCUACGGGAGCAGCAGUAAGGAAUNUUGGCAAUGACGCAAGUCUGAACCAGCCAUGCCGCGUGAAGGAUGAAGGUCCUCUGGA
rnacentral:rRNA from 1 species